rnacentral:rRNA from 1 species
UACAGAGGUCCCAAGCGUUGUUCGGAUUCACUGGGCGUAAAGGGUGCGUAGGUGGUGAGGUAAGUUCGAUGUGAAAUCUCCGGGCUCAACCCGGAAAUGGCAUUGAAUACUAUCUCGCUUGAGAGUCGGAGGGGGGACUGGAAUACUUGGUGUAGCAGUGAAAUGCGUAGAUAUCAAGUGGAACACCAGUGGCGAAGGCGAGUCCCUGGACGACUUCUGACACUGAGGCACGAAAGCUAGGGGAGCAAACAGG